rnacentral:pre_miRNA from 11 species
AAAUCAGUUUCAGGGCUUUUCUCCUCUGGCAGACACAUAUCGUAACUAGUUAUUAAUGGAGGGCUUAGGGAGUUGUGAUCUGCCAAAGGAGAGUUGCCCUGCAACCGGUUU